rnacentral:tRNA from 1 species
ACCUGGCUGGCUCAGUUGGUCGAGUUUGAAACUCUUGAUCUCAGGGUUGUGAGUUCAAGCCCCAUGUUGGGCA